GAACUUUACUUCGCUUCUGUGCUUGCUGGCUAUAGGGCUUUUUUCUUUACUGAAUUGAAAGAGAAUUUUAUUAAAUAUCUCCUUUUAUUAGAAAGAAUCAAUCACACCUGAAGCCUCUUUUGAGAGCUAAAAGUAAGGAAUUCUUUUGGAACUUUAUGGUUAAGGAGAACCUUUAAGAGCUUGCUAAUGUUGCUCAUGUUUCCACUGCUGCUAGAGCUAAUGAUUUUCUUUUUUCUACAAUUGCUGUUACAGCACUUCUAUCCAUUCUGUAUUCCGCUGUGUAUGGGAAACUCGUAAAAUGAUGGGUAUGCUAUGAGCACACAGAAAGAGAAGCAGUCAUUUCAUCCACCGCUUUUCUACUGAUAUAGUUCCUUUUGCUGCAAACGAACUGAGAUCCUACCUUUUAGUCACUUUUGAAAUAAACUAUUUCCUUACAGACUUUCUAUUUCUUUCCUUAUCUAUGUAAUUACUUAAAAGAGAGUACCAAUCUCCAUCCUAGUGCAUAUUUCCUUCCACAGUCAAAGAUUGGUCCUCUGUUUUUUUUUCAGCAUCAGGGGAUAAGAGAUCCCCUCUUGGAUAUGCAAACAAGAGAAUCGGCCAUACGGAUGCCCUUAGUGGCCUUGAGAUUACCAUAACGAAGAUCUCAACUAUGCCAUCGAAAGAGAGUUUUCGUAGGUUAAGUCAUUCUAAAAAUCAAGCGGGAAUGCAAAAUCAAAGAAUGCCGACUCUGAUCUUUCAAAAGAUCGUGAUUCAAAGGAUAAGUCAGUCUUUGAUGCUCUUUAUUCCUUCUCAAAAGAAAAUGCCAUUUAACAAAGACGGACUGGACUCUCCCGUACUGAAGGCAACGCAAAGUUGCCAAUGCUUCUAGUGCGAAUCUUGCUUUCGAAAGGAUCUUCGCCUAGUGUACUCUCUGUUCUUUCUAGUCUGGGUCUGCUUUGCCAAUGCACUGAUAGCUAUGAUUCUUCGAUCUCGAAAGUGAAAAGAUAAGGAUUGGAUGCUGUUCAAAGAUCUCCCCUGCUUACCUUUAGCGGGGAUCAAAACUACUUAAUAUAAAGAAUAUUUAAAUAAUAAGGAAGGAUAGCUUCCCAUGCCAUGACCAGAGUUCACAGUCGAUUCUCUAAAAGGAAAAGCAAAGAGCGGUAAUGCCUCCUGGUCAAUAGGGCUAUUCAAACCAAUCCACCCGGAGCCUAGUAAGCUACACUCCGCUCACUCUCCACAGCAGACUUCGAUGCAGGACAAGCGCUCAACCUCAAAAGCAGAGCGAUACGCUCACUCACCGCAACUGAGGAGAAAGAGCGAGAGCCACUCGACUUCAAGGAAGCGAAGCGAGUUUACGAGGUUCUGAAAGAAACAUAAGCAAAGGUUUUUCCCUCAGAUCUAAAAGAGGGUAAGCAACUAGGAUAGCAUAAUUCCCUGCACGGAAAAGCAGGUAAAAGCAUCAACAAAACAGGCCUUAGCCGACAGAUGGAAGGUUUUGAAUGAUUACUUGAGCCAGGAAAGCAGAUAAUAUAAAAUUGGCUGACUUGAAAGCGGUGGGUAAGAGUUUCAAUUAAAAGGCUCCAGAAGGAACUGCAAUCACUGAACCUUCAGCUGAUUAGAAAGCCGAUUAGACAGCUAGCUAAGAGAAUAAAACGAAAUGAAUGCUAGACUGAAUCGAAAGCAGCCGACAGGGUUGGAGGUAGUACCAAAAUAAGGGGAGGAUGAGGGGCUCUCAAGGCUGUUCUCGAAACAGGUCGAGAUCCAGACCAGACUAUUGACACCGAGGAAGAUGAAUCAAAGCAAGCUCUUAGAGGAGACCUUAGUCUUGGCCAGAUGUUGAGCUUCCAACCAUUUUCGACACUGAUGAGCCUUUGACUAACUGGACCCUUAUUAGCCACCCGCUCUACCACUGAGCUACUGAAACGGGCUUUUUAAAAAUCGGUUUGCUAAAUCGAUAUAAUAUACAAGAAGAUUGUAUCAUGGAAUCCCAUAGGAGCUACUACAUAACCAUGUAGAUGCAGGUUACGGUAUCAGAUCAGACGACCAAGAAUUUCGAAAGGCUAGAAUGAAGAACAAAUUCUCGAACUCUCGAACAGCCCCUUUCCAGUGAGCUAGUUUUGCUUUUGGUUAAUUGGUUAGCCAGCCAAAGGGAGUGACGGAUUGGUCGGAGGUAGAUGGAAUAACUAGUAGUCAAAAGAUAAGCAUAGUCAGAGUAGCAUAUGUUCUCUCUCGUAGUCCGCGUAAAGGGGGAAGGUUCAGUGUCGGCUACCAAUUCAUGUAUUGAGGUAUGUAAUCAUAUUCUCUUGAGCUUAACAGAAGCAACUAUGUUCUCAUGACGCUGCCUUGUGAUCAUACCCCAGAACCUUCAUCUCUCAAGAGCUUAAUAGGAUUAGGCCCCCCUCUUAACUUUAUCCUUCUUGUGAGAUCAAAAAGCCAAGCUGACUUAGAGCCAGAGGGAUUUCAUACUUUCUUGUCAUUUCCCUAGCUUAAUGCCUUCUUCUUAUCUGUGAACUAGUGGAAUUCCGGUUCACCCUCGGUGUGAUUGCUCCCAUCCAAUCCUUUGAGUUCGAUCCCUUGACUCUGAAAGAACCUAAGGCAGUGGAUUCGGGAUCUAUUCUCUCCAAGCCGGAAAUAAAGAGUGAACUGGAAAAGGGCUUGUAAUCAAAGGGACUAAAGAAAGGAUUUUUCCUUCUUGCAUUGUCUGAAUCUGACUCACAAGGAGACCAGAGAGAACUCAAAGAAGAACUAAGACAAGCUUACCUCGAUUUCAGAAGUACCU
rnacentral:lncRNA from 1 species